GCCUGGGUGGCUCAGUCGGUUGAGCAUCUGACUUCAGCUCAGGUCAUGAUCUCUCGGUUCGUGAGUUCAAGCCCCAUGUCAGGCU
rnacentral:tRNA from 1 species